AAGCCAAAACCAAGCUCA
rnacentral:snRNA from 1 species